UCGACGAACUCUGGUAUUGAUUGGUGCUUGCAUCAUGAUUUACAUUUGAGUGAGUGGCGAACUGGUGAGUAACACGUGGGAAACCUGCCCAGAAGCGGGGGAUAACACCUGGAAACAGAUGCUAAUACCGCAUAACAACUUGGACCGCAUGGUCCGAGUUUGAAAGAUGGCUUCGGCUAUCACUUUUGGAUGGUCCCGCGGCGUAUUAGCUAGAUGGUGGGGUAACGGCUCACCAUGGCAAUGAUACGUAGCCGACCUGAGAGGGUAAUCGGCCACAUUGGGACUGAGACACGGCCCAAACUCCUACGGGAGGCAGCAGUAGGGAAUCUUCCACAAUGGACGAAAGUCUGAUGGAGCAACGCCGCGUGAGUGAAGAAGGGUUUCGGCUCGUAAAACUCUGUUGUUAAAGAAGAACAUAUCUGAGAGUAACUGUUCAGGUAUUGACGGUAUUUAACCAGAAAGCCACGGCUAACUACGUGCCAGCAGCCGCGGUAAUACGUAGGUGGCAAGCGUUGUCCGGAUUUAUUGGGCGUAAAGCGAGCGCAGGCGGUUUUUUAAGUCUGAUGUGAAAGCCUUCGGCUCAACCGAAGAAGUGCAUCGGAAACUGGGAAACUUGAGUGCAGAAGAGGACAGUGGAACUCCAUGUGUAGCGGUGAAAUGCGUAGAUAUAUGGAAGAACACCAGUGGCGAAGGCGGCUGUCUGGUCUGUAACUGACGCUGAGGCUCGAAAGUAUGGGUAGCAAACAGGAUUAGAUACCCUGGUAGUCCAUACCGUAAACGAUGAAUGCUAAGUGUUGGAGGGUUUCCGCCCUUCAGUGCUGCAGCUAACGCAUUAAGCAUUCCGCCUGGGGAGUACGGCCGCAAGGCUGAAACUCAAAGGAAUUGACGGGGGCCCGCACAAGCGGUGGAGCAUGUGGUUUAAUUCGAAGCUACGCGAAGAACCUUACCAGGUCUUGACAUACUAUGCAAAUCUAAGAGAUUAGACGUUCCCUUCGGGGACAUGGAUACAGGUGGUGCAUGGUUGUCGUCAGCUCGUGUCGUGAGAUGUUGGGUUAAGUCCCGCAACGAGCGCAACCCUUAUUAUCAGUUGCCAGCAUUAAGUUGGGCACUCUGGUGAGACUGCCGGUGACAAACCGGAGGAAGGUGGGGAUGACGUCAAAUCAUCAUGCCCCUUAUGACCUGGGCUACACACGUGCUACAAUGGAUGGUACAACGAGUUGCGAACUCGCGAGAGUAAGCUAAUCUCUUAAAGCCAUUCUCAGUUCGGAUUGUAGGCUGCAACUCGCCUACAUGAAGUCGGAAUCGCUAGUAAUCGC
rnacentral:rRNA from 2 species